rnacentral:lncRNA from 1 species
CCCUACAACCCUCCUGUGCGACAACGCAUCUUGCGUCCUCCUCCCUCGUCGGUACGCUGCCUCCACUGCCGAGAGAUCGAGACGGCGCUCGCCGGCUCACGUCUUCCCCAACCCCACCGCCGUCGUGCCCCCACAUCCCCUCUGUCCACAAAUCCCACACCUCCCCGCACGGCGUCGUGUUCCUCCUCCUCCCAAUCUCCACCGCCUCUAAUCGGGGGUUCGUGGCCGUCCAAAUCCGGGCGUCGCACCAACGAGGACAGAUGGAUGGGGACUCACCAGCCAUGAAGUAGAAGAGGCCUGCGGUGGAGAGAGGCAACAACCCGCUGCGCUCUCCCCAAUCUAGUCCCCUGGAGGGCAUGUGCGUUGGUAAUGAAACUAGAAGUUUUAGUCUAGAAUCCUUUCCCCUCCCCAUAACACAUAUGUGUCUGUUCGUUAAUUCUGAGUGUAUGCUCAUCUUCAGAUUUAGAAAGGGCGUAGUUUCUUCAUAAGAAAUAUCAUAUGACUGAAGUUUUUAUAGAAUUUAUAAAUUUGCCGACUGCUGAUUUAUCUCCCUUAUUUUAAUUUAUUUGUUUUUAGCACUACUGGACAGGUGAUCUUUGCUGGGUCGGCCGAUUUCCAUAAUAGUCCCAGUUACUUAAAAAGCCGGGACUAAAGAUAAUCUUUAGUCCUGGUUUAUUUGUCCAAGGGGACUAUACGAUCUUUAGUCCCGGUUCAUAGAUCAUCUUUAAUCCCGGUUCACCUCGUAUCAGAGGCUGUCAGGUCCUCAAAAAUCUUUACUCCUGGUUGGUGUUACCAACCGGGACUAAAGUGAUCUUUAGUCCCGGUUGUUGUUUUCAACCGGGGCUAAAGUUUAUAUCGAUCUUUAAUCCCGGUUGGUAUUACCAACCAGGAGUAAAAAUGAAUAUACCGUAUAUAAUCCCUUUGCACGUAUCCUCAAAAAUUUCUAUCUCGUAUUCCUCCUCACUCUUAUCCUCUCCUUGUCUUCCUACUACUCCUCUCUCUCACACAGUUCUUAUCCUCUUUUCUCACAGAGCCGGCGAGGAGCGGGCUGCGGCGGCGGGAGACGCGCGCGGAGGAGGAGAUUGGGAGGGCGGCGGGCCGCGGGAGACGGCGCGGCCGGCGGCCUGCUCAGCGAUUUUUUUUUUUUAGAAUUUGUGAUUGAAGAUCUGAGAUGUGUUUUAUUUGUGUGUGAUGUAUUCAUGUGAUGUAUUUGUGAUGAUUUUUUACAACUUGUGAUGUAAGUUUAUAGAAUUUGUGAUGUAUUUGGAGAUGAUCGAUUUGAGGAUUUGGAUGUAUCUUUUGUUAUGUGAUCUGUUGGAUUUGUGAUCUGUGAUGAUUUAUUUGGGAUGAUUUGGGGAUGGAGUGAAAUCAAUAUUCAA